CAGUAAGGAAUAUUGGUCAAUGGACGAAAGUCUGAACCAGCCAUGCCGCGUGAAGGAUUAAGGUCCUCUGGAUUGUAAACUUCUUUUAUCUGGGACGAAAAAAGGCGAUUCUUCGUCACUUGACGGUACCAGAUGAAUAAGCACCGGCUAACUCCGUGCCAGCAGCCGCGGUAAUACGGAGGGUGCAAGCGUUAUCCGGAUUCACUGGGUUUAAAGGGUGCGUAGGCGGACAGUUAAGUCAGUGGUGAAAUCCUAGAGCUUAACUCUAGAACUGCCAUUGAUACUAUCUGUCUUGAAUAUUGUGGAGGUAAGCGGAAUAUGUCAUGUAGCGGUGAAAUGCUUAGAUAUGACAUAGAACACCUAUUGCGAAGGCAGCUUACUACGCAUAUAUUGACGCUGAGGCACGAAAGCGUGGGGAUCAAACAGGAUUAGA
rnacentral:rRNA from 1 species